rnacentral:misc_RNA from 1 species
GAUGAAGAACGUAGCGAAAUGCGAUAAGUAGUGUGAAUUGCAGAAUUCAGUGAAUCAUCGAAUCUUUGAACGCACAUUGCGCCCUUUGGUAUUCCAAAGGGCAUGCCUGUUCGAGCGUCAUUUGUACCCUCAAGCUUUGCUUGGUGUUGGGCGUCUUGUCUCUAGCUUUGCUGGAGACUCGCCUUAAAGUAAUUGGCAGCCGGCCUACUGGUUUCGGAGCGCAGCACAAGUCGCACUCUCUAUCAGCAAAGGUCUAGCAUCCAUUAAGCCUUUUUUUCAACUUUUGACCUCGGAUCAGGUAGGGAUACCCGCUGAACUUAAGCAUAUCAAUAGGGAGGA